GACGUAGGGCGCGAGCGUUGUCCGGAUUUAUUGGGCGUAAAGCGCACGUAGGCGGCUUUGUAAGUAAGAGGUGAAAGCCCGGAGCUCAACUCCGGAACUGCCUUUUAGACUGCAUCGCUUGAAUCCAGGAGAGGUGAGUGGAAUUCCGAGUGUAGAGGUGAAAUUCGUAGAUAUUCGGAAGAACACCAGUGGCGAAGGCGGCUCACUGGACUGGUAUUGACGCUGAGGUGCGAAAGCGUGGGGAGCAAACAGG
rnacentral:rRNA from 1 species